rnacentral:rRNA from 1 species
UACGGAGGGUGCAAGCGUUAUCCGGAUUCACUGGGUUUAAAGGGCGCGUAGGCGGGCUGCCAAGUCCGGGGUGAAAUCUUUCGGCUCAACCGGAAAAGUGCCUUGGAAACUGGCGGCCUCGAGGGGGGUAGGGGCCUGUGGAACUUCGGGUGGAGCGGUGAAAUGCGUUGAUAUCCGAAGGAACGCCGGUGGCGAAAGCGACGGGCUGGACCCCUUCUGACGCUGAGGCGCGAAAGCCAGGGGAGCAAACGGG